UAGAUAGUGGUGUAGGGCGGAAGCACGAAGAGUUUUGAUCUCUUAAGGUAGGGUUCGAACCCCUUCUUUCUAA
rnacentral:tRNA from 1 species